rnacentral:rRNA from 1 species
AGUGAACGCUGGCGGUAGGCCUAACACAUGCAAGUCGAACGGCAGCACAGGAGAGCUUGCUCUCUGGGUGGCGAGUGGCGGACGGGUGAGGAAUACAUCGGAAUCUACUCUGUCGUGGGGGAUAACGUAGGGAAACUUACGCUAAUACCGCAUACGACCUACGGGUGAAAGCAGGGGAUCUUCGGACCUUGCGCGAUUGAAUGAGCCGAUGUCGGAUUAGCUAGUUGGCGGGGUAAAGGCCCACCAAGGCGACGAUCCGUAGCUGGUCUGAGAGGAUGAUCAGCCACACUGGAACUGAGACGCGGUCCAGACUCCUACGGGAGGCAGCAGUGGGGAAUAUUGGACAAUGGGCGCAAGCCUGAUCCAGCCAUACCGCGUGGGUGAAGAAGGCCUUCGGGUUGUAAAGCCCUUUUGUUGGGAAAGAAAUCCAGCUGGCUAAUACCCGGUUGGGAUGACGGUACCCAAAGAAUAAGCACCGGCUAACUUCGUGCCAGCAGCCGCCGGUAA